GAUGAAGAACGUAGCGAAAUGCGAUAAGUAGUGUGAAUUGCAGAAUUCAGUGAAUCAUCGAAUCUUUGAACGCACAUUGCGCCCCUUGGUAUUCCAUGGGGCAUGCCUGUUCGAGCGUCAUUUGUACCUUCAAGCUUUGCUUGGUGUUGGGUGUUUGUCUCGCCUUUGCGUGUAGACUCGCCUUAAAAUAAUUGGCAGCCGGCGUAUUGAUUUCGGAGCGCAGUACAUCUCGCGCUUUGCACUCAUAACGACAGCGUCCAAAAGUACAUUUUACACUCUUAACCUCGGAUCAGGUAGGGAUACCCGCUGAACUUAAGCAUAUCAAUAAGCGGAGGA
rnacentral:misc_RNA from 1 species